GGGCCGGUAGUUCAGCUCGGUAUGCUCAACAAUUGAGGCCGACGAACGCCCGCUUGGCAUAUGAUAAUUCAAAAUGUGGGAGGUCGCGGGUUCAAAUCCCGCCCGGUCCA
rnacentral:tRNA from 1 species